UCCAGGGGGGUUCCUGACCCCUGCCAGGGUCCCAGACUUGCCAGGGCAGCCAGAAGGAAGCCCUGGAUUCCCACACAAAAGUCCUUUGUGAGCAUCUAAAUUCCCACUCUGGGUUCCCUGCCACAAGACCUCCCUCACCUCACAAACCUCCAAGUGCCACUGGCCUUUGGAGAGGCUGUGGGGUGGCUUGGGGUGCUUGGAGCUCCUCUGCUGAAAUGCAGGGAUGAGGAGCUGGGUGCCAUGGUCCUACAAACUCUGUGUAUGCUGAGGCUUGGCUCUGCCCUACCUCCUGCAAAGGGACCCCACUAUGUGUUUGUUCAGUGUCUGCCGCCUCUGAAUGUUGGGAUACACUGCUGAAGUUGUUUGGAGGGAAGGCUGGAAAAGGUGACAGGCUGGAACUGAAAUAGCUGGGAUUGCUCUGGACCUCCACUGGAGAUAUUUGAGUAUCAAAGUACGGCAGGCACUGCACCCCCACCGCUGGCUCAGGGCUGCCUCCAGGUGUGUCUGAUUCCCCCUGGGACGGGCCCAUCACUUGUGCUGCAGGGACAGGCCUCACAAUAACGGAGCAGCACACUCUGCUAAGGCUCCGAGCGGCCUGAGGCUGCACGCAUGAGGACGGAUCCUCUACCUCUCCCUGUCCCUCAGACAGGGCUCUUCCCCCGCAUCCCUGCGUGUCACCCCACAGGAAUGACACAGCACAGCCAUGGAUUCUUGGGCCUGUUUCUCUGCCAAGCCAUCCCCCAGCCUUCCCCUUUGACCCUGGAGCCAAACCCUCCCUCACAGGAAUGUUGUUCAGGGAGGGGGGAGGUUGGUGCAGCUCCAGCUGCUGCAUUUUUCCAUGUCCAGAGGUGUCUCCUGCCUUAAAAGGCCCCAUGACACAGGCUAUGCCUGCUCUCCUGCAGUCACCUAUUUAAGGACUGUUUGGAUUCAGUCCCCAGCACGGACUGGGACGACACCAGCCCAGUGCCUUGCAGCUGGGCUGAGCCCCCUGGGGGGAUACUGGGGCAGACUGGGCUGCUUGCCCGGGGAGCCCUGCAGGGCCCGGACAUGGAGGAGUCUCCCAGGCUCUCCCUUUCCUGUGUGCAGGUCAGAUUUCCUGAGCUGAGAUGAGGAGGUACCAAGGCUGCUGGAGAAACCCUGCUCAGAGCCGGGCUGAGCAGUCCAGGAAAAUGGGAUUGGGUCUGAGAAGCCCACACCGGACUGGCAUCUGCCUGGGCAAGGCUUGGGAUUUGCUGAGCCUGUUGCAGAGGGAGAAGGCUGAGGAUCUGGCUGAGAAUGUGGGGCAGGAGAGAUGACAUGUGGAAAGGUACGUGUCUGCAGGGAUGUGACCUCUGGAACACAGCACGUGGGGGGGCUGUGAAACUGAGCUCCCUCGCUCCUGGCAUUCCCUGACGGUCAGCAUGGAUCUCCACAGCCCUCUGGAGCCUCCCCAGCACGCACUCCAAGCUCUGGAAAAAGGGACAAGCCAGCCCAGCCCAGGGCCUGGCCAGCUCCAGGGCAGUAGGGGAACUCCAUCAGGGUCAAGCUGUCACCUAAUAAAGAUGUUUUUGGUUAUAAUCUGCUUUUAAAAAAGAAAACCCCUAGGAAACUACAGCCAAAGGUGACAUCAGCAAUGUGCUCUGCCAGUUGCAGGGUGAUCCAGGGUGGGAUGAGUCCAAACUUCAGCAGCUCAGGUAAGCUCAGCUCAGCCUUCAGCUGUAUGUGGCACAUCUCUAGCACAAGAGAUGCAGGGAGGAAACCAGACCUGGGGAUAAAAUAAUAAAACUGCCCCUGGGACCUGAGCAUGGAUUGUCAUGGAAGCUGGAAGGUGGAAACUGAGGUUUGGGAACAAGGAAGGUCUUACAGUCCACACAGGUGUCUCCAAGACCUGGCACAGCAGGGUGGGGGCUCCAAAAUCUUGUUUAGCCCUAAAUGUGUAGCGUAGGGAUGGGAUGUGAACUGCUGACCCAGCUCUUCCACAGUUGGUGGAAAGGCAUCAAGAGCUGCAAGUGGCAAAACACGGAAAACCCAACUGCCCAGAGGGCAAAAGCAAUGUCCCCCCAAGGGAUGGAGCCCCACAGCAGCUCCCCAGCACCAACUCUGCCUGCCCCGAGCCUCCUACAGCAGCCACUUCCCUCCCCUUGCAGCUCUGGGACACAGAGGGAGAAGUGUGAAGGACCCAGAGUUUCUAACAAGGAAGUGUAGCUGCGGAAAAACUUGGUGUGCACAGGUCAAAAAGAGGUUGCAACUCCCUGUUUCAGCCUGGUGUGCUGUGAGAGGAUCCUGCUCUAUGCUCACCUUCCCAUUUGCCUAGUAAAGAAUAAAGAAGCUUUUGUUCAAACACA